AGAUUGCUUGGACCCAGGAGGUUGAGGCUGCAGUGAGCCAAGAUUGCACCACUGCACUCCAGCUUGGGUGACAAAG
rnacentral:snRNA from 1 species